rnacentral:rRNA from 1 species
UUUUAAGUGAAAAGGCUUAAAUAAAUUAAGGGGACGAUAAAGACCCUAUAAAGCUUUACAAUAAGUUACCUAUAUUAUAAAUUGUUAGUAUAACUUGAGUUUAGGUAACGUUUGUUGCGUUGGGGCGACGAGAAUAUAAUAAGUAACUGUUCUUAAGUUAUUUAAUGACAGAAAUUUCUGGAAAAUUAAUGAUCCUCUACUAGAGAUCAUAAGAUUAAGUUACUUUAGGGAUAACAGCGUAAUCU